rnacentral:rRNA from 1 species
UACGAAGGGGCUAGCGUUGCUCGGAAUCACUGGGCGUAAAGCGCACGUAGGCGGAUUGUUAAGUCAGGGGUGAAAUCCUGGGAGCUCAACUCCAGAACUGCCUUUGAUACUGGCGAUCUUGAGUCCGGGAGAGGUGAGUGGAACUGCGAGUGUAGAGGUGAAAUUCGUAGAUAUUCGCAAGAACACCAGUGGCGAAGGCGGCUCACUGGCCCGAUACUGACGCUGAGGUGCGAAAGCGUGGGGAGCAAACAGGG